rnacentral:rRNA from 1 species
GUGGCAGACGGGUGAGUAACGCGUGGGAACGUACCUUUCACUACGGAAUAGCUCUGGGAAACUGGUGGUAAUACCGUAUACGCCCUCCGGGGGAAAGAUUUAUCGGUGAAAGAUCGGCCCGCGUUGGAUUAGCUAGUUGGUGAGGUAAUGGCUCACAAAGGCGACGAUCCAUAGCUGGUCUGAGAGGAUGAUCAGCCACACUGGGACUGAGACACGGCCCAGACUCCUACGGGAGGCAGCAGUGGGGAAUCUUGCACAAUGGGCGAAAGCCUGAUGCAGCCAUGCCGCGUGAAUGAUGAAGGCCUUAGGGUUGUAAAAUUCUUUCGUCAGGGAUGAUAAUGACCGUACCUGAAGAAGAAGCCCCGGCUAACUUCGUGCCAGCAGCCGCGGUAAUACGAAGGGGGCUAGCGUUGUUCGGAAUUACUGGGCGUAAAGCGCACGUAGGCGGACUUUUAAGUCAGGUGUGAAAUCCCGGGGCUCAACCUCGGAACUGCAUUUGAAACUGGAAGUCUGGAGAUCAGGAGAGGUUAGCGGAAUACCGAGUGUAGAGGUGAAAUUCGUAGAUAUUCGGUGGAACACCAGUGGCGAAGGCGGCUAACUGGACUGAUACUGACGCUGAGGUGCGAAAGUGUGGGGAGCAAACAGGAUUAGAUACCCUGGUAGUCCAC